GGUUCUGUGGUGUAAUGGUUAGCACUUUGGACACUGAAUCCAAGGAUCCCAGUUCGAGUGUCGGCAGAACCU
rnacentral:tRNA from 1 species